AUGACGAGAGUGAAGAAUAGUUACUAUGUACUUCCAGGAGAACCUGAACCGAAGCGCACCGUGUCAAACACUCACAGCAUUGGGAAGGUAAUGUUCCUAACAGCUGUUGCCAGGCCUCGAUAUAACAAUGAGGGGGAGCUAACAUUCGAUGGGAAGAUCGGCAUUUGGGCAUUCGUCGAAGAGACUGAGGCGAAGCGGACAAGUCAGAACAGAACAAAGGGAACAAAAGUGUUGACAUCAGUGAAAGUAACCAGGCCUGUGUGCAGAGAUUAUCUAAUCAAUAAGGUUAUCCCGGCAAUUCAGGAUAAGUGGCCUGACGAUGAUGAGGGAGCAACAAUAUUCAUCCAACGGGAUAACGCAAAGCCUCAUGUCCUUCCCAAUGAUGUAGCUUUUCGAGAAGCUGUGGAACAAACUAAAAGAAAGUCGGGUAGUUGUUGA
rnacentral:rRNA from 1 species